AAUUUUGGAGGGAUUCCUAAAACAAUUAGCGACUAGAUUAUUCAGUUCGUCGGGAAAAACUAUUUUAUUUCUUUUUGGCGACCAAUAGACACUGGGCGGGAAAAAACUAAACCUAAGAAAUUAGGUCCAAGGUUGAUCUGUCUCUCUCUCAUUCACACAUCUGUGUCACUGUCUCUCUUACUCUCGCUUCACGCCUCUAUGACUCUUUUUCUCUCUCACUCUCAUAUUUGCCCUCCUCUCUGUCGAUUUGUCUCUGCCUGUUACACGAGCACCACCGCAAGGGUUACACGAGCACCACAGUCACUUCCAGGUAUCUCAUCUAUUUCACCUUCUCUCUAUUUGUCUCUGUGUCUUCGUCCUCUGUUUUCUUCCAUUCAGAACUGUGAGGCGCCAUAUGUUGAAGAAGUGGAACAAGUAUUGUUUCUUCCAUCUCCAUCGACCUCUUCAUCACAGAGAUCUUGUGUAUUAUCCAUCUAAUUCACUGCAAAACCACACUACACCCAACAAUCAAACCACUAAUGUUCGAAGCACUGUCGUUUGGUGAUGAUGAACAGACCUUGCUGAAUUAAUUGGAGUUUAAUAAUCGACCUAGCCCCAAAUUGACCCAACCCCAAGCUUCUUUUCCAUACUCCAUCUAUGAGGAUGUUGGUCAUGACCCAUUAACAAACAUAGCAUCGAUUCCCAUUGAGUUCCGUUCAUUGAAUCACCCACAAAAACUACUCUCUUCCCUCUGAUAAAAACAAGCAUUUUUGUUGCAUUGAACCUAAGAAAAAUAACAACCUUCUCUCUCUCUCUCUCUCAUUCCUUCUUCUCUCUCUAAUUUCAAUGGCAUCGGAUUGAACACCUCUAUUCAGUAUAGAAUAAAGGUAUGGCAACCAAAAGGAGCGUUACACGUUUCAACAUCAAGUGUCAAGAAAAUCUUGAUAAUGGGAGGGACUCUCUGGUGGCUAGUGGCUUAUGGUUUCAUUUUUCUGUGCAGAAAUGGGUUGAAGUUAUAGGACAAGCAUGCCAUAGUGUGGAUUUCUUGAAAGAUCAAGAUAUAAUCAGGACUGUCCUUAAAGAUCAAAAAAAUUGUCUCUUGACAUGUAAACUAGUUUAUUGUAUGAGAUAAGAAGAUUUGUUGCCUACUCUGCAUUUCUCUAGCUUAAGAUCACUCCAUUGCAUAAACAAGAGAAGUCUGCUCUGCAUUUCUCUGGUUGAAGGUAUUUCAUUUCAUAUCUUUAAACAUGUUCUUUAUUUUUGUUUUGUGAUUGUUUAUUUAUUUAUAUUAAAGGAAAGAAUAUGGAGGUUUUAAAUUAGAUUUU